UACGAAGGGGGCUAGCGUUGUUCGGAAUUACUGGGCGUAAAGGGCGCGUAGGCGGUGUGUCAAGUCAGGCGUGAAAGCCCCGGGCUCAACCUGGGAACCGCGCUUGAGACUGGCACGCUAGAGUUCGGGAGAGGAUGGUGGAAUUCCCAGUGUAGAGGUGAAAUUCGUAGAUAUUGGGAGGAACACCGGUGGCGAAGGCGGCCCCCUGGACCGGUACUGACGCUGAGGCGCGAAAGCGUGGGUAGCAAACGGG
rnacentral:rRNA from 1 species